ACGAACGCUGGCGGCGUGCCUAAUACAUGCAAGUCGAGCGGAAUGAUGAAGAAGCUUGCUUCUUCUGAUUUUAGCGGCGGACGGGUGAGUAACACGUGGGCAACCUACCUUGUAGAUUGGGAUAACUCCGGGAAACCGGGGCUAAUACCGGAUAAUCCAUUUUGCUUCAUGGCGAGAUGUUAAAAGGCGGCUUCGGCUGUCACUACGAGAUGGGCCCGCGGCGCAUUAGCUAGUUGGUAGGGUAAUGGCCUACCAAGGCGACGAUGCGUAGCCGACCUGAGAGGGUGAUCGGCCACACUGGGACUGAGACACGGCCCAGACUCCUACGGGAGGCAGCAGUAGGGAAUCUUCCACAAUGGACGAAAGUCUGAUGGAGCAACGCCGCGUGAGUGAAGAAGGUUUUCGGAUCGUAAAACUCUGUUGUAAGGGAAGAACACGUACGAGAGUAACUGCUCGUACCUUGACGGUACCUUAUUAGAAAGCCACGGCUAACUACGUG
rnacentral:rRNA from 1 species